UACAGAGGUCCCAAGCGUUGUUCGGAUUCACUGGGCGUAAAGGGUGCGUAGGCGGUCGGGUAAGUCUGAUGUGAAAUCUCACAGCUUAACUGUGAAACUGCAUUGGAUACUAUCCGGCUAGAGGAAUGGAGGGGAGACUGGAAUACUUGGUGUAGCAGUGAAAUGCGCAGAUAUCAGGAGGAACACCGGUGGCGAAGGCGGGUCUCUGGGCCGUAACUGACGCUGAGGAGCGAAAGCGUGGGGAGCGAACAGG
rnacentral:rRNA from 1 species